UACCAGUUAAUUAAAUAUCGCGUUAGAAUUUGUUGUGUGACAUGAAGAAGAUUUCUCCAACAGAGCUAAACAGUUGUCUGAAAAUCAGGAAAACCUGUCCUGAAGGAAACUUUUCACAAUAAUCUCUAAAUUCUCCAGGUGUGUGCGCCUGUUCACUUCCCUUCAUGGAUUUGAAUGGAAAUGACUGGUACAUGGGAAUUCACUCUAGUGCCCAUACCUACACCAACCCAAUGCUUUUAGAUUUGUUGGAUUUGUUGGAAUUACUGGACAAACAAACACUUUCGGAGAUAGGAGAUAUUAUUUGAACGCAAUCCAGAUGAGAAUAUUUAAAAACCAAUAUGGCGGACAAUGUGUGUGUUGUAUGUAGGUACUAGAACACUGGUGGAAGAGAGGGACAUUGCAAUCCCAACGAUGAGGACCGUGUUGAGGUGUCCUGAAGGAUGGAGGCUGUUAGGAUUCAGAUGUUACUUCCUGUCUACUGAGAAGAAAACCUGGGCUUGCAGCAGACAGGACUGUCUGGAGAGAGGAGCAGACCUGGUGUUCAUAAACAGCAGAGAGGAGCAGGUGUGCCUGUCUGGUGAACCCAGAGAAGAGGGUUGGGAAGUACUGCACCUUGUAGGCAACCGUGGUCCUGGAGUACCGCAGGGAUGUUUUUAAUUUAACCGACCUGGAAGAACGGGCUGAAGAGAGAGACCAGCUACAGACCAGUUUCAACAACCUGACUGAAGAGAGAGACCAGCUACAGACCAGUUUCAACAACUUGAUGGAAGAGAGACCACCUACAGACCAGUUACAGCACCCUGACUGAGGAGAGAAACCAGCAUAUUACCAAUAUGAUUUCCUCUUUAUACCAUUAGUUAUUUCCUCAGAUUCUAGCUUCCUGUAUACCAGUAGUUGUUUGACAAAUCAACAUUACAUUAGUACAUUUGACUUUGUCCACACUCUACAUGUGGUGCAUUUCAUCAUUUCCAUUUCAAAUAUAUUAUUUGUACUUUCCACAAAUAUUAGACAAACCAUAGAGUAUAUUGACUGGUGAGUCAUUCUAAGGAACACAAUAAAAAUAUCCCCAUCAAAAUCUGUCAA